rnacentral:rRNA from 1 species
UACGGAGGAUGCGAGCGUUAUCCGGAUUUAUUGGGUUUAAAGGGUGCGUAGGCGGAAUGGUAAGUCAGUGGUGAAAUACCUCGGCUCAACUGAGGAGCUGCCAUUGAUACUGGGUACCUGGAGUUUAGUUGAAGUGGGCGGAAUGUAUGGUGUAGCGGUGAAAUGCUUAGAUAUUAUACAGAACGCCGAUCCCGAAGGCAGCUGGCCAGACCGAGAUCGACGCUGAGGCACGAAAGCGUGGGGAGCAAACAGG